UCCUAUCUUAUAUAAAAGUCAAUUAGUUCACAUAAAUCCUAAAACAUUUUCUCUCAAUAUGCUACAUCCCACUCCCCUCUCCCAUUCCCCUCUCCCACUUCACUCCCUUUUGAACCCUAACCCUCUCUCCCUCUGCUAAGCCACUAUCGUCCAUCUACUAUUAUCACUGCCUCGAUGGUGGUUCUAUCUUUCCGGUGGUAGCUCUCUCUUCCGAUGUUAGGUCUCUUUCUUACUCUGGUGGUUCUCUCCUCCCGUGUUAGGUGUAGGUACUUGGGUUUUUUUCUCUAACUUUAUUUCUCUUUUUUUGGCUUCUCUCUCUCUCCUCUCUCUCACUCUAUCUGCUUAUCUUUCUUGUCGUGGUGGAUCAAUGUUUAGUUUUUGCUUUGUUGAUUUCUUAGUUUUAUUUUGGCUUAUUUCUUACUCUACAAUAUUUUCUCUUGCCGACUUGCUAUAUCCCUUUCUCUCUAUCUUGCUUUGCAGGUUUGUCUCUGUCUGGCCCUCUCUCUAUUGUUUUUACUAUUGUUGUUUGCCUUUAAAAAGUUACAUUGAUACUAAUCUUUGAGUUUUUUUUAAUAUAUUUAUAUUUAUAUUUUUUUUGCUCAAUUUAAUAAUAAUAGUAAUAAAAAAAAUUGCUCAACCCAUGGAUUCAACCCAAACCAUGUGGGUUGGACUUAUGUGAUUGGUUGGAUUGGGUUGAAUUUUUUUUAACCCACUAUAGUGGGUUGGGUCAAAAAAUCCCCCUUAAUUCAACCCAACCCGACCCAUGCACACCCCUAACUGCCGAUAUUUUAGUCCAAUUCCUUUCCUCAAGAAGGUAAGCGAUAAUUAUUGAAGGUAGAUUGGUAGGAUGGAAGGAUGUCCAAUUCAGCUAGGAAUUGGGUUGUGCUAUGGUGGUAGGGAAUAUUUGCUUGUACUCUGGCGGUGGAGAAUAUCGGCUUGUGCUAUGUUGUUAGAGAAUAUCAACUUGUUUUGUGGUGGUAGAGAAUAGAACAUUUGCAGAUGCCAAAUUGGAGGGAUGCUGCUGCGCAAGUAAAAUAUGCUUUUAGUAUUUUUCUAAUUAAUGAGAUGCUUUGAUGACUAGGAUUGAAAGAAUUAACUCAUAACGACCCGAUGCUUUGUGAUUGACAAGAUUGAAAAAGGUUUUCAGUAACUUGAGAAACAAAAGGUUCAUAUCAUGAUUUUGUUACUUUGAUUCAUCCUAUCAUUUUUUUUCUUUUUUUUUGACAAUAUCAAGGUUAAAUUGGCAAAUAUGCUCUUCAGACCUAUCUCAAAGCUUGAUAAUUGAUACAAAGAAAAUGUCUCAGGGCUGAGAAUUUUUACCCAGUUCGUACUGACAGAAUCACUAGGACUCCGCAACUUGUGAUAUCUUUAGCAUUCUCAGCUGUUUUAGCUUCACUCAGGUCUUUUAGAACCUGCUGGCCAUGUUCUAAGGCUAUUACAUCUUCUCUAAAAUGAUGUACACUCAUGUUGGUGUUGGUUUUGGUCAUUCUUUACUAUUUCAAUGUUAAUGGUAGCUGCAUUAUGCAGUCUACUUUUGCUACACUACUGUGAAAUUCUAAUUUCUUACAGGUACGAUUUGGA